rnacentral:rRNA from 1 species
GACGAACGCUGGCGGCGUGCCUAAUACAUGCAAGUAGAACGCUGAAGGAAGGAGCUUGCUCUUUCUGGAUGAGUUGCGAACGGGUGAGUAACGCGUAGGUAACCUGCCUGGUAGCGGGGGAUAACUAUUGGAAACGUUAGCUAACACCGCAUAAAAUUGAUUAUUGCAUGAUAGUUAAUUAAAAGGUGCAACUGCACCACUACCAGAUGGACCUGCGUUGUAUUAGCUAGUUGGUGGGGUAACGGCUCACCAAGGCGACGGUACAUAGCCGACCUGAGAGGGAGAACGGCCACACUGGGACUGGGACACGGCCCAGGCUCCUACGGGAAGCAGCAGGAGGGAAACUUCGGCAAUGGACGGAAGUCUGACCGAACAACGCCGCGGGGGUGGAGAAGGGUUUCGGAUCGGAAAGCUCUGUUGUAAGAGAAGAACGAGUGUGAGGGUGGAAAGUUCACACUGUGACGGUAUCUUACCAGAAAGGGACGGCUAACUACGUG